UACUUUUUAAUGAAGUUUAGUGCUUUAAUAUCUUUAUUAUUAGAAAUUAGGUGCAAAAUUGUUUAAAUGAUUUUUAAUUCACCUGACACAUCUUCAGGAUGAUUUAAAAGAUUGCAGUAAUAUCGGAGGUCGAGUAGUAUCAGGCGUUAUCACAUGAAAACAUAAAAUAGUAUAAAUGAUCUUCCUUUAUAUUUUUGCUUUAUUCCUUUGCAAGUUAAACGUGUUUAAUGUAUUGAAAUCUUUUAUUGAAAUUCAGAAUAUUUAUAGUUCGAUUUGUGUGGAUGGCAAUGCGUUUAUAGUUUUAAUUCAAUUGGAAUAUGUUUUUACAAUUUUUAUAUGUAGUAGUUCAUUGAGGGUAUUUUUUGAAACAACACGAUUAUCUAAUGUUAUCAUGGAGUCAAUAAGUUGUGAAAUAUUGGAUAAACAACGGAAGAUAUUUCUUUUAUCUUUUAUAUGGUAGCCCAAGAAAUUUCAUUGAUAUAGAAAUGUAUAAAAUAUAAGAAAACAACAACAAAAAUGUGGUUUCUUCACUUCUGAAUAUUUUUGGGUGACUUGGUUGCAAUUAUUAAAUCUAUCAGCUUAUCGAAAAGUACUAAACGUUCGUUCAUGCAAACAUCAAAUUAAAAUGAUGGCAGAAGUUUAACAGUUCGCUAACUUUUAUACGUAUUGUAUUGCAAGGCAAUUUUACUGAAAUGAAAAUAUUUGGUCAUAUAAAACGUGUCGCUAAAA